AUUCUAACUAGGGAAUCCUAUAAUCAAGCUAUCAAUUCCUAUAAUUAAGCAUCUAUUUACAUAAAGAAUCGAAAAAAUAUUCCGAAGCUUGUAAGUUUGAAAAGAAUUGAGGAUUGAUGAAGAAUACCAUUCUAAAGCAUUAAGUUUGAAAAGAAUCGAAAAAAUAUUCUUUGACAUUAUCACUUCUCAAUGUCUGUACAGUAACAUUAAACUGAGUUCGAAUUUCAACACAAAGGACCCUAAAAUGAGAAAAUAAUUCAGAAUGAUUCUUGAUUAAAUAUGGCCCUGUUUGAUAGCCUUGAUUUUCCAUGGAAAAUGGAAAAUAUUUUCCAUUUUCCACCCAAUUUGUGUUGUUUGAUUGCUAAAAAUUUUCAUGGAAUUUGUUUUCCAACUUCUCUUCGCACAUGUGCCAAUUCUAUGGUUUUGUGGAAAAUUCCAGCAACUUUUUUUAUUUUUUAUUUUUUGCAAUUGGAACAAAUUCUAU
rnacentral:lncRNA from 1 species